UCCAUCCUUUCUAUUCUGAGUUUAGCACAUUGGGAUCGACGUGUCAGCCUCUUCUCUUCCUCUCCCUCUACAUCUUUGUCUCUCUCCCUCUUUCUUUUUCUCUUUCUUUCUCUUUCUUUCCUUUUCUUCCUCUCACGGGCUUAGGCAAGCUGCGGCGCGACGAGGCGGCGUUGGUGACCUGACGAUGACCUCACCGACUACGACGACCGCGAAUGGCUGCUGGGAGGAGGAUGUAGAGGUGGUUGGUAGGCCCAGGUGUGGGGCCCAUGGAUGGCAAGCCUGGUUUGGCUGGCCAACUUUAGCCAUUCCAGCAGCUCAUUUGGCCAGCGAGUGGCCUAGCCAUCCAAAUGGAGAGUUUGUUGGAUUUUUUUUUUUGUUAUGUUUACUAUUUUUUUUAGUUUGGAGAGUGGAAUUAUCAUGUUGUUGGAGAUGCUCUAGUAUCCUCUGCUGGGGAACAACAAGCAAUCAAAUUACUAGUCCAAUGACUGUUCGUUUCCUCUGGCCGUGGUGGCA
rnacentral:lncRNA from 1 species